rnacentral:lncRNA from 10 species
CAGGAGUUUGAGACCAGCCUGGCCAACAUGGUGGAACCCCGUCUCUACUAAAAAUUCAAAAACUAGCGGGGCACCUGUAGUCCUAGCUACUCGGGAGGCUGAGGCAGAAGAAUCACUUGAACCCAGGAGGCAGAGGUUGCAGUGAGCCAAGAUUGUGCCACUACACUGCAGCCUGGGCAACAGAGUGAGACUCCAACUCAAAAAAAUUUUUAAAAAAAAUUUUUAAAAAGUUAAGCCCAAAAGGUAAGUAAAGAGGAGGUCUGGAAUUAGAUAUUUGGUGUAUGAGUGAAUGAGCUAAAGUGCAAAAGAAUGGGCAGAAUAACCGUGAGCUGGAGCAGAGGGAAAAAAAUCACAUGCAAAAUCUAAAAAUAUCUGCUUCUCAAUUCGGGCUUUCCCACUUAGCAGCUUUGGCAUUUAAAAAAAAAAAAAAAAAAAAAAAAACACUUGACCGGGCACGGUGGCUCACGCCUGUAAUCCCAGCACUUUGGGAGGCCGAGGCGGGCGGAUCAGGAGGUCAAGAGAUAGAGACCAUUCUGGCUAACACGGUGAAACCCUGUCUCUACUGAAAAAAUACAAAAAAAUUAGCCGGGCAUGGUGGCGGGUGCCUGUAGUCCCAGCUACUCGGGAGGCUGAGGCAGGAGAAUGGCCUGAACCUGGGAGGCGGAGCUUGCAGUGAGCCCAGAUCGGGCCACUGCACUCCAGCCUGGGAGACAGAGCGAGACUCCGUCUCACAGAACAAACAAACAACAAACAACAACAACAAAAACGCACUUAGCCUAUCUGAUUCUCUAUUACUUCUAAAAAGUGCAUACUAAGGCAUAAUUUUGUUGGCAAAAGUCAAUCAGACUACAUCAAGUAAACUCCCUAAGUCUCCUAGUAUAAUUCACGGCACAAAAAUAUGAGGAAAAACAGGGAGGAUAUGAUUAAAAGUUUAGUUUGUAUUUUUUGUUGAAUGAAUGUCUCCAGUCAUAGAGAUGCAAGUGUAGAUACACAGUAAGAGUAGUAUGAAUGGCAGACACCUUGGAAGGCUAUUUCUUCCUUCAUUCAUUCAGUUGGUCACUCAAUGAACUAUCAUGAAUUGAGCACUACCUCUGUUUCUUAUCAACAAAGGAGACUACGGAAAGGAAGAAUGACUAAGAUCUCUGAAGAAGGGAAAAGCUAGAUGACUG